rnacentral:rRNA from 1 species
GACGAACGCUAGCGGCGUGCCUAAGGUAUGCAAGUCGAGCGGGAGGCUUCGGCCUCCAGCGGCAAACGGUUGAGUAACACGUAGACAACCUGCCCGUAAGACGGGGAUAACUCGGGGAAACUCGGGCUAAUACCGGAUGUGGCAAAGGAAGGCAUCUUCCUCCUGCUAAAGGAGCAAUCCGCUUACGGAUGGGUCUGCGGCCUAUCAGUUAGCUGGUGGGGUAACGGCCUACCAGGGCGACGACGGGUAGCUGGUCUGAGAGGAUGACCAGCCAGACGGGGACUGAGACACGGCCCCGACUCCUUCGGGAGGCAGCAAUGAGGGAUAUUGCGCAAUGGGGGAAACCCUGACGCAGCGACGCCGCGUGGGUGAGGAAGUCCUUCGGGAUGUAAAGCCCUUUUCUGGGGGAAGAACGCUUGACGGUACCCCAGGAAGAAGCCCCGGCUAACUACGUGCCAGCAGCCGCGGUAAUAC